rnacentral:sRNA from 1 species
AAGUCGUAACAAGGUUUCCGUAGGUGAACCUGCGGAAGGAUCAUUAACGAGUUUUGAAACGAGUUGUAGCUGGCCUUCCGAGGCAUGUGCACGCUCUGCUCAUCCACUCUACCCCUGUGCACUUACUGUAGGUUGGCGUGGGCUCCUUAACGGGAGCAUUCUGCCGGCCUAUGUAUACUACAAACACUUUAAAGUAUCAGAAUGUAAACGCGUCUAACGCAUCUAUAAUACAACUUUUAGCAACGGAUCUCUUGGCUCUCGCAUCGAUGAAGAACGCAGCGAAAUGCGAUAAGUAAUGUGAAUUGCAGAAUUCAGUGAAUCAUCGAAUCUUUGAACGCACCUUGCGCUCCUUGGUAUUCCGAGGAGCAUGCCUGUUUGAGUGUCAUGGAAUUCUCAACUUAUAAAUCCUUGUGAUCUAUAAGCUUGGACUUGGAGGCUUGCUGGCCCUUGCGGUCGGCUCCUCUUGAAUGCAUUAGCUCGAUUCCGUACGGAUCGGCUCUCAGUGUGAUAAUUGUCUACGCUGUGACCGUGAAGUGUUUUGGCGAGCUUCUAACCGUCCAUUAGGACAACUUUUUAACAUCUGACCUCAAAUCAGGUAGGACUACCCGCUGAACUUAAGCAUAUCAAUAAGCGGAGGAAAAGAAACUAACAAGGAUUCCCCUAGUAACUGCGAGUGAAGCGGGAAAAGCUCAAAUUUAAAAUCUGGCGGUCUUUGGCCGUCCGAGUUGUAGUCUGGAGAAGCGUCUUCCGCG